GUGGGGAAUAUUGCACAAUGGACGAAAGUCUGAUGCAGCAACGCCGCGUGGAGGAUGACACAUUUCGGUGCGUAAACUCCUUUUAUAUAGGAAGAUAAUGACGGUACUAUAUGAAUAAGCACCGGCUAACUCCGUGCCAGCAGCCGCGGUAAUGCGGAGGGUGCAAGCGUUACUCGGAAUCACUGGGCGUAAAGAGCGUGUAGGCGGGUAUAUAAGUCAGAAGUGAAAUCCAAUAGCUUAACUAUUGAACUGCUUUUGAAACUGUAUACCUAGAAUGUGGGAGAGGUAGAUGGAAUUUCUGGUGUAGGGGUAAAAUCCGUAGAGAUCAGAAGGAAUACCGAUUGCGAAGGCGAUCUACUGGAACAUUAUUGACGCUGAGACGCGAAAGCGUGGGGAGCAAACAGGAUUAGAUACCCCAGUAGUCC
rnacentral:rRNA from 1 species